rnacentral:rRNA from 1 species
GAUGAACGCUGGCGGCGUGCCUAAUACAUGCAAGUCGAACGAGGUGCUUUUGUAGCAAUACGAAAGUAUCCUAGUGGCGAACGGGUGAGUAACGCGUUGGUGACCUGCCCCAAAGUGUGGGAUAACAGUCCGAAAGGAUUGCUAAUACCGCAUGUGGCCAUCGGGUUUAGAAACCGAUGUCUAAAGCAGCAAUGCGCUUUGGGAGGGACCUGCGUCCCAUCAGCUAGUUGGUGAGGUAACGGCCCACUAAGGCGACGACGGGUAGGGGGCCUGAGAGGGUGGCCCCCCACAAUGGAACUGAAACACGGUCCAUACACCUACGGGUGGCAGCAGUAGGGAAUAUUGCACAAUGGGCGAAAGCCUGAUGCAGCAACGCCGCGUGAGCGAUGAAGGCCUUCGGGUCGUAAAGCUCUUUUCUGGGAGAUGAGAAAGGACAGUAUCCCAGGAAUAAGUCUCGGCUAACUACGUGCCAGCAGCCGCGGUAAAAC